rnacentral:rRNA from 1 species
CGGGGGUACACGAGCGGCGAACGGGUGAGUAACACGUGAGUAAUCUGCCCUUCACUUCGGGAUAAGCUUCGGAAACGGGGUCUAAUACCGGAUACGACACUUUCAGGCAUCUGAUGAGUGUGGAAAGUUUUUUCGGUGGGGGAUGUGCUCGCGGCCUAUCAGCUUGUUGGUGGGGUAAUGGCCUACCAAGGCUUCGACGGGUAGCCGGCCUGAGAGGGUGACCGGCCACACUGGGACUGAGACACGGCCCAGACUCCUACGGGAGGCAGCAGUGGGGAAUAUUGGACAAUGGGCGGAAGCCUGAUCCAGCAACGCCGCGUGAGGGAUGACGGCCUUCGGGUUGUAAACCUCUUUCAGUACCGACGAAGCGAGAGUGACGGUAGGUACAGAAGAAGCACCGGCCAACUACGUGCCAGCAGCCGCGGUAAUACGUAGGGUGCGAGCGUUGUCCGGAAUUAUUGGGCGUAAAGGGCUCGUAGGCGGUUUGUCGCGUCGGGAGUGAAAACACCGGGCUUAACUCGGUGCUUGCUUUCGAUACGGGCAGACUAGAGGUAUGCAGGGGAGAACGGAAUUCCUGGUGUAGCGGUGAAAUGCGCAGAUAUCAGGAGGAACACCGGUGGCGAAGGCGGUUCUCUGGGCAUUACCUGACGCUGAGGAGCGAAAGUGUGGGGAGCGAACAGGAUUAGAUACCCUGGUAGUCCACACCGUAAACGUUGGGCGCUAGGUGUGGGAUCCAUUCCACGGGUUCCGUGCCGCAGCUAACGCAUUAAGCGCCCCGCCU